UGCUAAGCCACCACUUGGAUGAGGAUAUAAUUAAGCAGCAGAGAAAGAUUGUGGACCGGCUUAAAGUUUCCAUAGCAUCCUCUAUUACAGAUGCAACACACUUUAUUACUGAUAAGUUUGUGCGUACAAGGAAUAUGUUGGAAGCCAGGCAAGCCAGUGGUAACACAUUUAUGGCUUUAGAAUGUGGGACGGGCUAAUUAUUAUAUUNNNUAUUGAUGAGCAAAAAUACAUACUCAGGGACAUGAAAAAGGAAAAAGAGCUUGGUUUUAACAUGCCAGUUUCAUUGGCACAUGCACGUCAACAUCCACUUCUGCAGGG
rnacentral:misc_RNA from 1 species